AUUUAAGUUGAGAUGUCUUGCAUAUGAUUUCUUUUGAUAAGACAAACACGUUAUAUGGUGAGUUCUUCGAAAUUGCAUUGUCUCACGUUACCUCAUUGUCGGAGACUGCGCAGGUAGUGUGGGAGGAGGGUGUUUGAUCUGAAUCAGAUGAGACUUGCGUGUGGAGAUGUAAGUUGAGGUGCCUUGCAUGUUAUUUCUUUUGAAGGGACAGUCAUGAAUAUAUGAUAGUACUUCAAAAUUAGAUGGUCUCUGGUUUCCUCAUGGUCGGAGACUGCACAGAUAGUGUGGGAGGAGGGUGUUUGAUCUGAAUCGGAUGAGACUUGCGUGUGGAGAUUUAAGUUGAGGUGUGUUGCAUAUGAUUUCUUUUGAAGGGACAAACGCGAAUAUGUGGUGAGUACUUCGAAAUUCUACUGUUUGCACAGACAAUGUGGACUAAACAUACUUGGUCCGAGUUCAGUCGAGGUUGGCAGCUGUAAUCAUAACUUGCAUUCCUAAGCAUGUGACUAGAUUAACUGGUUCAAGAAUUUUUCUUUUGGAGUUGAAAUAUUUGACUGUGCCAUUCAUUUAUUUCCUGUAGAUUAGAAGUAGGUAAGCUCAUAAGAAAGAAAUUGCCCAGGUUGAUACUGUGUCAGAUUAAAUGUACUUUUAUUAUUUGGGUAAUGGGGUAAUGAACUACAAAAUUUUGGGAGAAUGUGUGUGAAAGUUCUGUAUGACCAAAUUUCAGUUUUGCUGUUCCUUACUGCUUCAAACUCUUAAGGAUUUACAGGACAUCCAGUGUGUGGUGAAACUAUACAGAUAGAUGAUAGACAGCCUGCUAUUAUCUUAAUGUCAUGUGAGCCAGUGUGGUUAUUAAAAUUGAAGCUCCUUCUAGAGGCUUAUGAAUGUCGUAGGUAGUUACAGUACACCACUGUGUGUAUUGAAAGUAUAAGUGUUGUGCAUUAGUGGAUACCAAUGUGAGUAAUUAGAUGUGAAACCUCCGGAUCUUCACACAUGAUAAGUUUACAGUCAGUAUAAUGAAAGUGAUAACACUUGGCGAGCCUUAGUUGUGGCAAGAGGUCAUUUUCAUUUUGUGUAUUGUGUUAAGUGUCUGUUAAUUUUAUGGAUGUUCUGAAGCUGAAACCAUAUUUAAUUUUAAAUACCUUAACCAUAUGAGCUACAGAACUUUCAUUUAUGAUCUGUCAGAGUACAGUAGCAGAAGCCACAGUGAUCAGUAUUUAAAUGGGGACUUCCAACAGUGUAAUGGUGAGUUCAUUGAAAUUGUUAACUUCAUUGUUUUGAGCAGGUAGGGGUAAAAGGCAGUUUCUUUACUUCCACUCAUAAUAUGCCAAAAGCGAACAAUACACAGGUGUAAUGUGUUGUUGUGCAGCAGACAGAACAGUUAGUGAUGCAACUCAGAUUUCUUGUGUUUUGGGAAAUAAAUAGCACAAAUACGAACAGCACGUGACUGGUUCAAAAUCAAGGUUACCAACACUUUUCCUAGAACAAUUUUAAUAGAGACAGUGUAGUGGGACCCGCCUAUUGAUGAACAUUGGCAGUGAAACAGUGUAAACAUCACACGACAUAUUUGAAUUGCACAGUGAAUGUCUACAUGAAAUAUCUUGAGCAUUUACACAGUAUUAUUGUUUUUGUGGGGAUGCAGGCUGGAAGUGUGUGUUCCAUGAAAAAUGAAGUACAUCAUUCUUGAAAAUUUCUCGGGUAUUCAGCCAGGUAGCAUCAUCCAAAAGGCGCAAUAUUUCAGCAAGCCGACUUCUUGCCAUGUAAAAGAGUUCUUGGUGUUUCACCAAGAACGCCUGAAGAUGGCAAGAAGUCGGCUUUCUGAAAUAUCAUGCCUUUUGAAUGAUGCUACCUGGCUGAAUACCUGACAAAUAUUCAAGAUUUCUGUAUGCCGGGAAAACCUUGGAUCAUACAUCAUUCUUAUCAUAUUGUGACACACUGUGAAAGCAUCAGUUUUAAAAUGUCGAAGAAAACACUAGAUGUGAUGUGAUGUGAUGUGAUUUGGUUUUGUCUUCAUGUGACAGUAUAUUGACUGGUUGUAACAGGAGACACAUUUUUUAGUCUUGUGGAAGUGUGUGAAAAAAUUUGCUUUUACCACAGGCAAGAAAACAUUGUGAAUGAAAUGUGGAUGUCCCAAAUGUUUCAGUACACAAUAUAAUAUGAGUUAAUGUUAGCUUGAUGCAAAGGUACUGCCUCCUACUCUAUGAUGGACACAAAUUUAAUGUGUUGUGUAUCAGAGUCAAAAUUUCAGUGUGGUGACUUAAGUGCAUUUUGUGUGGUGUGAUAGCCAGUGUGGUUAGAGGCUGAGGCAGUUAAUAUGUAUUUCAGAUAAGGCUUUAAGAAUGUGAGCAGAACAUAUAGUAGCAUCUGCUAUAUACAUUUGACACCCACCUGUCAGAAGAAUGAAUGUUUUUGCACGGAGUUUGAUGUAUUGAAGAUGUGACAGUCAUGUUAUUGGUCAUGAGGAGCUGAAGUUGCUGUAAUUGUGUUCAGUAAUACAGUAUGCAUUGGAAGACAAUGAUGAAAAUAAUUAUUGAUGUGACACAUUGUGGCAAUGAUGUGCAGUUCUUAUAAAUUAAGUGCAAGAUUUUGUCAGUGAGACAGGGUGAUUAGGAAACAUUGCUACAGUAUUUCAGCUACAGUGUAUCAUAACUGAUUAUUCUAAUUGUGAUAAUUCAGCCUGUCACCAGAUACUACAGUGUGUACACGUCCACUCAUAUUGACCGCUGUAACUAUGCUGCCACUUGCCUUUGGUUACUGUAACAUGGUUCUCAAGUCUGAUUCCAUCUCGAUUCCCACUUACUGUGUAAUGCCGUGUUGCACACUUGCCAUGCAUGAAAGGACUUUAGGAACUUUUUGGCAUAUCAGUUUUUAAUCGUGCAAGGCUUUACCCAAUAAGGCUGAUCAGUAUAUUAUUUGUGUAAUGUUUCAAAAGCAGUUUUUUUAUGGUGUGGCUGUUGUAUUGCAUUAGUGUGCACCUUCUUUGCAUGUUUCAGGUGUGAGGCUACCUGGAGCUGACAAUGUGCAACUUUGAGGUUACCUAACAGCACUGAAUUUUAUUCAAUAGCGGCAUCGAGUUGUUGGUGCUCCUGUAAUAAAUACUGCUGUUGUUGUCAGCAUUCUUAUAUUAUGUCUAUAUGAGCCAAACAAGGUGGAAUUUAAAGAGCAUAUGAGAAUACAGACCAAAUUGAGUGUCAUUUAGAAAGCAUGUAAUCUUCCACAGUAGUUUCAACACUGCACUAAAAUAUUGUUGCAGUGUAAAAUAACACUGACAUUAUAACAAGAAAAAUUAAUUAAACAGAAGUUUGAAGUGAUGAAAUAGCUUCACAUAUCAGAAAAUAAUGUAAUUUUGUUCAAAUUGAAGUCCUUAGCAUAAAAGAUUUUUUUUUUGAAAAAUAUGUGGAUACAAAGAAUCACAUAACAUCUCGAAUGUGGAAUUACUGGUACAUGGCAGAAAGAAACUAAAAUAACUUGCUGUCAUGAUAAAGGCUUUUUAGGUCAUAACUUUUUUUUCCUGUGCUCGGCAAAAUUAAUGGACUUAUUCUUGACCUCGAAGAAGAAGAAUGAAAAAUGGUAAAUUGCAAACCUCAUGAUGAGAGAUGACUGUAACAGGUUGUAAGUUUUAAGAAAAUUGCUACAGUCCAUGCAACACAUUUUAAUUGUAAGAAUUAAUGAAUGAAGAGAUGCUGAUUUGAGCAUUAUGUGAAAAAUUUAGGUUCAUUGGAGCACUUUUUAAGAAGAGGAAUUUGAUUACAAAAAGUUGAAGAACUGAGGUGUCCUUGAAGUUUGUAAAUAACUGUUUUUUCACAUGGCCUGUAUUUUUGGAAGGAAUAGAUGUAGUCUCUUUGAUAUUUUCUACUCCUUUAUUGCACUGCAGUUUGUUAUACUUACUGAUGCACUCAAUGUUCAAAAGUAGUUAAUAUUGAUGUGAAUUCAUUUCCAGCAUGAAAAACAUAGCCUACUAUGGACCUGUUCACCUUACAUAAAGGAGGAAAAGGAGGAAAUGCCAUCAAGGAGGGAUAACAGGAGAAAGCUGUGUAUUAAUAAAUUACAGUGACAUUGUAGUACUUCAGUCAGGAUUUCCUAAAUUAUUUAUAGUGAUCCCAAACUGAUCAACAAGCAACAAUGGAAAUUCCACACAAUUUUUAAGGGGAUGUUGUAAAGUGAAGAUGCAGUGGGGGAGUGUCUUAGCUGUAGUUGUUGCACUACAGUAAAUGGUUUCCAAUGAACAAGGACGACAGAUGACCGUAAAAAUAUUAUUUGAAAUUCCAGAGUUCAAGGAAGUUCUGCAACAGUUCCCCAUUGCACACUAACGUGUGGUAUACAUAUGAGGCAUUUGCUAGCAUGAAAAACAUAGCCUACUAUGGACCUGUUCACCUUACCUAAAGGAGGAAAAGGAGGAAAUUCCAUAAAGAAUUCUGAAAACUGAACACACAGUGGAAUUGAUAGCCUUGAUGUGGACGAUGCUGGAAGCCGAAGUUAAGAAACCAUCCCUGAAGCUCCUCACAUACCUGCUAACGAGUAUCCUAUCAUCACUGGGAGAAGACGAUGGAGCUUUGUUAACGUGCUAGAAUAUAACCAUGAACUGUUUGACAAAAUACGAACUGACUUCCUACUCAUGUUCCCAUGGUUUACAGGAUUUAUUAAAUUAUGUGAGGUCUCUACCAGGUGGUACUACAGUGACGUCAUUGUCACAGAAAGACCGGGAGAUGCUGACAUCUUGCAUAGCAAACUUACUGAGUUCUCAAAGAGAUAUCCUGGAGAAAUUCUCUUCUGGAGAGAAGACGGAGACCACUUCCACGUCAUUCAUGACUGUGUCUAUUUCUCGAGGAGAUGCAGAUGUUGGUUCCGAAAUGAUGCAUUUAUUUCCUCCAGAAUUAAGAAGCUCCACAGACGGAAAAGAGCAAUUGCAGCAAUGUCAGAUAUCGACUGGCUCAAUGUACUGUUAUACCUCUAUGUGCAAAAGGGGUAUGGCCGCGGACAAAUUUGGAUUAGAGGAGCCAUUAAAAGACUACCUUAUCCAGCUGGAAUUGUAUGAUGGGAAAGUUGCCUCUCAGGAUACCAAACAAUACUGGAAGGGGAAAGUAGUCGAUAUGAUGGUGACAGCGAACAGAGGCAUGCAAAUAAUGCACCAUGUAAACAGUCUCAUUUGAGAUGCAAACAGAUCAUUACAGGAAAAGGGUGCAACCCGACAACAAUCGCGCGCCAGGUUCUUUCCGUACUAAUUCAGUACAAUUGUAUACCACCUGAGAACAUUACAAAUAUGCUUCCAAUUGAUCAUGGUUACUUCAUGAAUUUUAUUGAUCCUAAAUUUAAAAGAUUUUUCAAUAUGGGAUUAGAGUUAUACAAAAAAACCAUUAACGAUUUAAAUCUUAGGGGAAUUGAAUCACUUUUAUGUUCUGGAUCACAGGAUAGUAUAUUUUAUGCUACCUCUAACAAUGUAUGGGAAUGUUGUUAUACUUUGGGCGAUUCUUUAACCUGGUUAAACAAAAUUCUAUUAUUCCAGUGUGAAGAUGAUAAUGAUAAAGCUACAGAAUUUUUGUUAAAUUUAGUUUCAUGGUUCAAUAAGAAUGGAUUGUAUCAUUGGAAUAAUGAUAAUUAUGUAUAGUCAAAAAAGUUAAACACUUUGUGUAUUGUGAGUCCUCCAAAUAGUGGUAAAAAUUGGUUCUUUGAUUGCUUUGUAUCUUUCGCUCUUAAUGUUGGUCAUAUAGGUAGAUGUAAUAACAAAACAAAUCAAUUUGCAAUGCAAGAUGCUGUUAAUAGAAGAUUAAUUGUUGGCAAUGAAAUUAGUAUUGAAGAAGGAGCCUUAGAAGAUUUUAAAAAAGUGUGCGAGGGAAUUUCUUGUAACAUUAGAGUGAAGUAUAAAGGCGAUGUAAUUUUAAGGAGGACACCACUUUUAUUAAUUUCAAACAGUCAACCUGUAGUUUGCAGCCACCCUGAUUUUAAGGAUAUUCGUGUGAAAACUGUGAGGUGGCGUAGAUUUGAAGAUUUGAAAAAUGCAACAAAAAAGCCUUAUCCCUUAGCUUCUUUCAGCUUAUUACAAAUGUAUAAUGUGGAAUAUUAAAUGAAAACCAAUUGUAAUUUUGAAAUAGAUAUAUUUUCAAUAACUUGUUUACAAAGGUAAAUGAAAUAUUACAUUAUACAAAAUAAA